AGGAUGAACGCUGGCGGCGUGCCUAACACAUGCAAGUCGAACGUCCUGUCUCGCAAGAGGCAGGGAGUGGCGGACGGGUGAGUACCACGUGGGUUAUCUACCGUGAGUGAGGAAUACCGGCGAGAAAUCGCCGACAAAACCGCAUAGGCUCGAUGCAAGUCGAGCAAAG
rnacentral:rRNA from 1 species